rnacentral:misc_RNA from 1 species
GAAUUGCGAGACGUAAUGUGAAUUGCAGAAUUCAGUGAAUCAUCGAAUCUUUGAACGCAUCUUGCGCUCCUUGGUAUUCCGAGGAGCAUGCCUGUUUGAGUGUCGUCUUACUCUCAGUUUCAAAAUUUUUGAAACUGGAUUUGAACGCUGUCGGCGUCGUCGACUCGUUCUAAAUGCAUUAGCGGUCUGCCCUUGAUCACAACCACAAUGUGAUAAACUUUUGAGCAUUGUUUUUUGUCAAGUGGCGACGGCUUCUAACCGUCCCUUUCGGGACAACCGACCUCAUUUGACCUCAAAUCAGGUAGGACUACCCGCUGAACUUAA